CCAUGUGCACUACUCUUCACAUGAUUGCUCUUCGUACGCCCUCGUCUCCCUCAGCGGCGGAGUCAUUCUGACAGGCAUUUCGUUUUCUUGCUGAAGUUCUGACUGGGGUGGAAAGGUAGCGCAGCUUUGCGACGCGCGCGCGCUGUUAUUAUUAUUAUUUGCUUUUCGUACGCGUGUGUGUGCGUGUGUCCACUGACACAUCACGCCAUACGGCUCUCUCUCUCACACACACAUCUUCGCUGACUUCUUUGUUUGACAUCGCCUGCUAAAGUUCAAAGGCCAUUCUUCGCCAAAAGCAGCGGUUGUUGCUCUGUGCUCUUGGGUGAGCUGCCUUUACCCGGGGGCUCUCGAAGACAACACGUUCAUUUGCGAUCUUUACGCUCAACGCGUGGUGGUCGCCGCCGUACGGCGUCACACACUGCCAAUUGCUCUUUGCCGUUGCCGGCGUGCAGUGCCAUCGCGACGACUCGCGGACCUUCGGCGUAGGUGAGCGGAGCCAGCGCAACCACUCCACAAAGCACAAAAACUGACGUGGCCACCAAUACAUUGAUGACCAUUGCCACAUGGGCAAAAAGGAUAAAGAAGUCAUGUAUGAUCCGGGGUACGACAAGGAGUACUACGGCGAGGACGAAGAUGAAUAUGCCUAUGAGGACCAGGAGGCAGCAGCGACGGUGGUGCCGUCUGCCAGCGUAGCGGCCGAGCAGAAAUAUGCGCAGUGCGAAGAGCGCACAAUGGACGUGUCGGAGGUACUGGCGAUGCAAAGCGCCGUGGUACGAGAGGUAGUCAAUCUGACCUGUCUGUCGACGAGUGCGGCCACGCUACUACUGCGCCGUUAUCGCUGGUCGCGAGACGUCGCAGUCGAACGCUACUUUGAGAAUUCUACUGCUGUGCUAAGCGACCUCGGAAUCACGGAGGAGGCGUCCUUGCAUGAGGCGAAGCUCCUCCACGGUGAAGCUGGCGGUCCCAUCGUGUGUGGGAUCUGCGCCAUGGAAUAUAAUCCGCAGAAGGUGGCGUGUCUAUCGACGUGCCAGCAUUAUUUCUGCCUCGAGUGCUGGCGGGACCACAUCAAGUCCCGCAUAGUCGAGAACCUCAUCGGCACCCACUGCCCGGAGCAAGGCUGCUGCCAACUCGUUGGGUUAUCCGUCAUGUGCGAGCUCUUCUCCGAGUGCGACGAUGAAGCAAAAAAUGAGAAGAGCAAAAGCAUUCUGAAGCAGAUACACCGCAAAUACCUAACGAGUUUUGUAGAAACUUGCCCCACGCUGCAUUGGUGCCCGAACCGGCAAGGCUGUGCCGCCGUUAUCUACGCCCCUGUUCCGCCCCUGCAGGGACAGGGGGUGCGGUGUCUCCUGUGCAACAGGUCGUACUGCUUGCGGUGCAGCUAUGAGCCGCAUCGACCAGCCACGUGCGAGAACAUACGGCAGUGGAAGAGCUACUGCUCCAAAGAAGGGGCAAACCUCGCCUACAUUCUCAGUCGCACAAAGCAGUGCCCGGAGUGCAAGAAGACGAUUGAAAAGAGCGGUGGCUGCAACCAUAUGACAUGCAAGUGCGGGCAUGAGUUCUGCUGGGUGUGCCUCGGCCCCUGGAAGCAGCAUAGCGGAGACUACUACUCGUGCCGCAAUGUGGAGCACCAUGGGUCUGCGGCCUCCGAAGAGGCCGUGGACGCUUCCAGGAGGUUCACGUACCACUACGAACGGUACACACUUCACCUCGACAGCGCCGAGCGCGAUGAGAAAUUGCUCCGAACGAUGGCGCACAACCCAACGAUGCGAGAGCGACUGAUCAAGGGUCAGAGGCGGAUGGAUGAGAAUCGGGCUCCGGGAGUGGUAAGCGGAGCCUUGAAGCAGGAGGGCGUGCCCUUGGUGGGCCUCACAUGCGCCACAUCGGAGGUGGUUUCGCGCGUCACCGACACACUGUUCACGGCGCGUGAUAUUCUCGCCCAUUCGUACGUGGCGAUGUUCUAUCUUUGCGAGAACGACAGCGAAGGGCAGCUGAUGGCGCAUCGAGUGGGGAAGCUGGAGGAAGCUACGGAGGCCAUGUCCGGUUCCCUCAUAAAAUUGUUCACCGCUACGGGAUCACAGUUGGGCACCUUUUUCGACGCAGCUGAUGUGUUGGUAGCAUGGAUGAAGGCGCUGUGCGAUGUCUAGCAUGUUUCCCUACCAGCCGGUGCUGUUGGCAGCAGUGCAGGAAAAGGACAGGGAGCUGUGGAGGGGGACGGGCGAGCAGAGCGUUUUUUUUUUUCGUGCCACCCUUGGUUCUCAUCUUGUUUUGCCGGACCUUGUGAUACGAGUGCUGAGGGUGCCGUCUCUGCUGCCUGAGCUCGUUCACUUAAGGCUCUGCACCCCUUGCGGUGAGCGGUCAUUUUGCACCGAGUUGAUGAUGUCGGCAUAGCCCCACCCCUCCAUGCAUGCGCACACACCACUCUCUCUCCCUCACUUGCCGUCACUGGAGUGGUCUUCGUGAGGACUCUGGUAUGCGCUGCGUUGCACGCUUCACUCCCAUGUACAGCCCGUUCUCUCUCUCCCCCCGCAUUGUUUGUGAUGCCCUCUUCGGCGUUGUUGUUGCUUGUUCUCUCCUCCCUCGCUGGGCGUUGCUGCCUUGGUGCGCAUUUUUAUUUCAUCACGCCUGCUCAAG
rnacentral:misc_RNA from 1 species